GGAAGGACAACCACCUGAGGAACGACCAAAUUUCAGUGCGCCAUGGUGUGUGAAGUAUGCGCCAUGGUGUGUGAAGUAUGCGCCAUGGUGUGUGAAGUAUGCGCCAUGGUGUGUGAAGUCACCUAAAGAAAGAAAAUAAUUUUAGGAAAACUGGACUCGAGAUGUACAAUCAAAGUGAAGAAUCAUGUUUGGUAAGAAGUAGUAAAGGCAGUGAAUGUUGUGGCUCUACCCAACAAUGUUAUUGAGAGGUCAAGCGGAUGUUUUCUGAUUUACGUGUAAGCGUUAAGAAAAAAACAGCACAACAGUGGGAGACAGAGACGUGACCGAUCGCCCGGGCGGCUAGUGAGCCGAUCAGUGGCGAAGAGGAAAAAGGUAAAAAGUAAAAGAGGCGGCCUCCAAAUUGAAAACACCCUGUACAUACACUGCAAUUGACGAAGCAGUUCUUCAACUCUUAGAUCCAGCCUUUAUUCAUGGGAUUCCAGCGAUUUUGGAAAGUGAAGAACUUAUUGAUGAAGAAGAAAGAGAACAAACCCCAGGACCCUCAGGAGCUAGGUUUACUGCUGUUCAUUCCAGCGAGGAAUCUAUGUUUAGGCCCAUUCAAUAGAAAGAGGAUUCUCUAACCAUCUUGCUGACUGAGGAUAUACACACUUGUUAACUAAUAACACGUGUUGCAGUGCUACUAGGAUAAUGUUUACCCAGGUUUUGGGUAAAAGUUCACACCACAAUCAAAUGUAUAGCUUUGAAAACAGACUCGUGUACUUAUUUUUAUUUUUUAAAGGUUCCUUUAUUUUGGUAAUAUGUAGUUAAUUUCCAGUUCAACCUGUUUAAUUAAUUAGUUUGUAUGAUUCAAGUAGGUUGAAACAGAAAUAAUGGUGCAAAUUCACCAACAGCCUACUGUAAUCACUGCUAUUUAGCACACAUUAUUCUCCAAAGAGCAAGUUGUUGCAUUGGUUCUUUCAUAAGGAUGUGCUGUCUCAUGCUAAAUUGUAUAGCUUAACAAGCCAAGAGUUUGCUAUUUGUUUUCUUUAUUAUUAUAGUAGUACAGUAUUUGGUUAUAAGUUUACUUUAAUAUACGGGUGUUGAUGCAGGUACAUUCUAGUCAUGAGAGUUCCUUCAGUAAUUCUAGACAUAUGAAAAUUAUACUGUAUUCCAUUUUUAAAUCUUAAAAAUGGCAACAAUUAACAGUAGUUGUAUUAAUUUUUCACAACGAUGUGGUGACUCAUGUCAAAUUGUGUAGUUUAAGAAGCAAACAGUGGCAAUAUUUUUUUAUUGUUUCAAUUUCUCAAAUAUGUUUUAUAUAAUGAUUUUUGCUUUCACAAACUUCAGUGCCUUUGGUAUUUAGUAGUAUUAAAAGUAUACCGUAUUGGAAUCAAAUUGCUCAAGGAUAUAGUACAUACUUUAUUUUCCUAUAUAAAAUGCUUAUCUUAUGAAGGUAAAAGAAAGCCAUUUAUUUUCUGUAUUUUCUAUAAAGAAAUUCAUUUUAUUAUGUACAGUAUA